CCCCUAGAUGUUCUGGGCCGCACGCGCGCUACACUGACGAAUGCAACGAGCUUAUAACCUUGGCCGAAAGGUCUGGGUAAUCUCCAAAUUUCGUCGUGAUGGGGAUAGAUUAUUGCAAUUAUUAAUCUUCAACGAGGAAUGCCUAGUAAGCGCAAGUCAUCAGCUUGCGUUGAUUACGUCCCUGCCCUUUGUACACACCGCCCGUCGCUCCUACCGAUUUCGAGUGGUUCGGUGAACCUUUCGGACCGGCAAUGCCUCGUGUUGCGCCGGAAAGUCAAGUAAACCAUAUCACUUAGAGGAAGGAGAAGUCGUAACA
rnacentral:rRNA from 1 species